GGUCGGGGGGAGGGGCCGGCAGACAGGAUUUGGAGUUCAAGUGCAUGUGGAGAAAAUGACCUGGAAGACAGCGAGACAGAGAGCGGAAUGGGAAAGCGCAGGCUGGAAUAUCCUCUUUUUUCCAGGCACUGAUUUUUACCCUGGAAUGUAGAAGGUGAGAUUGGGAAGAAAAAAAAACAGGCACUCUCUCAACUCUCAAAAGAGCCAAUGAAAGAAAAUCGAACGCCGGGAGACGAGAGCGCAGGACAAGAAAAUGUAUUCCGGCCCCCUCCUCUGAACUCUCGGCUACGGCUCACUCCUCCUUCUUCCCUCCCUCCCGUGAACCCCUUAGCCUCUCUUUUCUAUCUGUCGUUCCCUCUCUGUCAUUCUCUCCCCUCCCACUUCCUCAUGCGGUCGCUUGCGCACACAUGCGCCCUUACGAUCUCGCUCUCUUUUCCUCUCUCUCCGCCGGCUGCAGUGCUUCUCUUCUCAUCCUCGCAGCCUGGCAGCUCCAUCCGUGUUCCUCCCUCCUGGACGGAGAAACACGCGCAGCCUUUUUAAUGGUCCCCCCUACCCCUCUGCGUGCCUCCCUAAAAAAACCAGGCCCCUUCAGCAGCUCCUUUUCCUACUUGUCUCGGUGCCUGAUCACCAUCCGCUCUCCUUUGCACUUCACUUACAUUCAUAAUUUUUUCUCUUUUUUUUUUUGCGUUGAAUCAUUUUCAAGCUCUAUCCCACAAAUUCUCACAUUCAUAAUGUGAAAGCAGUUCAGAGUGCUGAAUGAACAGUAGGAAAUGGGAUGGGUAGGAGGAAAAACGUGGUUUGGGAGGAAACGCUAAGAGGAGAGAAGUGACUGGGAUAGCGGAGAGGAGGAAGGACCCGGAGCAACGAGAGAAAGAGCCAAACGUGGGAUCAACGAAACCGCGGGAAAAGAAGGAGGAACGACCAGACUGAUCACAGUUCUUAUUCAGCUGGAAGAAAUGGCAGUUACAUAAAGAAUGCUGUGGAACUACAGUUUGGAAUCAUCCAUGUUAUUCCUUCCCCAAGACUGGAAUGAUGGAAAGAAUUUCAGCAUGUACGAAUGAAUAUCAUGAGUUUGGAACACCAUGUGGGUCGCAACCUCAGGAGAUUUAGAGAUGUCACGCAAUUUGGAGAAGAAACCGUCAUUGUGAGAGUGAUGCAUUUACUUUUUUUUGGCAAAUCUGACAAAGGUAAGAAGGAAGGUAAAGAAGUGUCAUCAUCCAAGCUUAGUAUGCGGUAUAUAUAAAAUAUUCAGUGUGUG